CCUACGGGAGGCAGCAGUGAGGAAUAUUGGUCAAUGGACGAGAGUCUGAACCAGCCAAGUAGCGUGAAGGAUGACUGCCCUAUGGGUUGUAAACUUCUUUUAUAAAGGAAUAAAACGAGGCACGUGUGCCUUUUUGCAUGUACUUUAUGAAUAAGGAUCGGCUAACUCCGUGCCAGCAGCCGCGGUAAUACGGAGGAUCCGAGCGUUAUCCGGAUUUAUUGGGUUUAAAGGGAGCGUAGAUGGGUUGUUAAGUCAGUUGUGAAAGUUUGCGGCUCAACCGUAAAAUUGCAAUUGAUACUGGCAGUCGUGAGUACAGUUGAGGUAGGCUGAAUUCGUGGUGUAGCGGUGAAAUGCUUAGAUAUCACGAAGAACCCCGAUUGCGAAGGCAGCUUACUAAACUGUGACUGACAUUGAUGCUCGAAAGUGUGGGUAUCAAACAGGAUUAGAUACCCCUGUAGUC
rnacentral:rRNA from 1 species